rnacentral:lncRNA from 1 species
AAUAAUUAGGGUUAGAGGAGUUGAGAGGUGGCUGAGAGGAGAGGUGAUUGAGAGAUAGCGGAUCUCCUCCAUUUGUAAUCUCAUUCGUUCGAUCAGUAAAUUAUUAAUUUCUCUUUGUGGACUUAGGUACUCUUGGACGAACCACGUAAAUCUUUAUUAUCUUUUGUGUGUGUGGUUGAUUUGGAUAGCUGAAGGUAAAGUGAGUCGUUUUAUCCAACAGUAGUAUAAGAGCAAAGUUCGAGUCACCGGAGCAAUUUUUGCAAAGAACGAAGCAGAUCUUGCAUUCUGUCCAAAUCUAAAGUUGCUUGGAAUUAGAUUUUGAGAACACCACAAGAUUCCUCUCUUCGAGAUGAAGCUACAGAAGGCAAUCAUGUAGAAAAUGGACUCCGCUCGCGGCUCCACUCAUUGGUUGAAUAUUGCGUUGAGAUCUACUUCCUCUCACGCGCCACACGUGCCAAAGAUGAGGAAGACAAGUGAGUCCUUCGCGCCUCCACGUGCCAUGAUCCCCACGUGCCGAGCCGAGUUAGUUGAGCUGCUAUUCCGGGUCGAGACCACGCGAAUAGACAAAUCGACCGAGACACUGAGCUGUGACCAACCACGAGCCAUUGACUAAGCCUCUAGCCAUUGACUAAGCCGAGCUGUGAGGGAAUAUUCCUGGAUGUUAGGUAAUUGCACUUUCAGUCCCAGAAGUUUUUAAAAAUUAUAGUUUCUUCCCUUUUAUUCUGAAAAUUAUAGUUUGAUCCCUGAAAUUUUUAAAAAUUAUAGUUUAGUCCAUAGAGUUUUUAUUUUUGAUAAUUUGAUCCCUAAAAUUUUUAAUUUUAGCAGUUUAGGUCUUUCUAAGAUUUUUUAACAUUCAGGAUCCAUCCCGAGAUUAAAUUUUAAAUUUUUUGCUUCUAUUAGGGUGAAGUAAGAUGGUGGAGAAUAAUUCGGGUGAUAUGAUUAUACUUUCAACCACGAAUUACGUAUUGUGAAAACCACGGAUGGAAGAUAUAUUAUUCUGUAAGGAUUUGUACGACUCGUUAGAGAAUAAGGGAGACAAACUUGUAGAGACGAAUGAUGAGGAAUGAAAGAAGAUGGACCGAAAAAUAAUUGGGCAUAUCAGUUAAUGGAUUGGAUACGAGGUGUUCCAUCAUAUAGCACAAGAGAUGAGUGCUUAUAAGUUGUGGACCAAGUUGGAGACGAUGUACCAAGCCAAAACGUCACGAAACAAAGUGCUCUUGAUGAGGAGGCUAGUGAAUCUGAAGUUACAUGGUGGUACUGCAAUGGAGGAACAUACGAGCGAGUUUUAGAAUUUGUUCAAUAAAUUGACUAGUGUUGACCUAUAAUAUAAGGAUGAGAUACAAUCCCUAUUGCUUUUGAGUUCCUUGCUAGAAAGUUGGGAGAGAUUGGUGGUUUUUCUCAGCAAUUCAGCUGAAUGUGAUGUUGACCAUGAGUAUGGUCAAGAUUGCCCUAUUCAAUGAAGAGGCACGGAAGAGAGUGGUGGGUAUGAUGGAUAGUGAUGAGUCGCGAGCCUUAGUCUCAGAGAGAAGUAGGGAAAACGAUCGAUGUUAGGGAAGAGGUCAUCAAAAGGUACUAGUACAGCACGACCAAGGUCAAAGUCAAGAGGUACAUUUUUAUGUGUUUUUACUACGAUCAGGAAAGACAUGUCAAGAGGAAUUGUCAAAGGUGUAAAUCACAGAUGAAGAACGAUCAGUCUUUAGAGAUGGCAUCACCAGAGGUGAUGCCUACGGAUCACAGUGAUGUUCUCCUAAUAGCAUUGGAAGAUGAAAAGUCAAAUUAGAUUUUGAAUUCAGGAAGUUUUUACCACUUGUGUAGAGAAAGAGAUGUUCUCUACAUAUUCAACAUGUGAUGAUGGCCUUGUACAGAUGGAAAAUAACACAAUGAACAGAGUUGUUGGCAAAUGAACAGUUUGGUUCUGCAUGACAGACGAGAGAACUCUGACAUUGACCGAGGUAAGGCAUGUUGUUAGUCUAUGUAAAAAAAUAAUUUUCAUUAGGAUGAUAGAUUUGAAGGGAUGCAACUUUGUACUUAGUGGAGGAAUUCUAAGAAUUUUCAAGGAAAACACGAAGAUGCUGCAAGGAAGGAAGACUAGAGGGCUAUACCGACUGAAGGGUAGUAUUCAGACAUGGAGAGCUACUUUCAGACAUGAGUCCAGUGGUACUAGCAAGACGAAUGGACAAAGGAAGCAACACUUGUACAAAAGUACACAAAGCAAGCGCAAGGAUAUAUGGAGGAUACGUCUGGUGCAGAAGCGUAAGGAGAUACUUUGAGAUGUGUGAAGAAGUUUGGUCAGACGCGAGUGGUACAACUAGUAUAGGAUGUCCAGCUAAAAGUUUAGAGAAAUGAGACAAAAUCGAUUUUAAGGAGCUAUAUAGCUACGGGGGCGACGACUCCUAAACGAGUCUCUUUUACUCUGAAUUUGAUAAGUGGUGAUGAUCUCUCUAGAUAUGUGCACAAGGGAUGAGAGAUGGAGUUACUGCAGUUCACAAAGUGAUGUAUUUUGCGGCGUACCCCAGUGGGGGGUAUGUGCACCUCGGUGAGAAGCUACAGACACUUUGGUGUGAAGGUGCAUACACUUUAGUGGGAAGUGGAGUAGCCCAUUGAUGAGGGCAACAUAUCUCGAAUGCUAUCUUGCAGAUAUUAUGGGGGAACUGGACCAGAAACUGUUAGCAUGGACAACUUGAAAACAUCGGAUUACCUUUCUGUGGGCUGGAGGGGAGAUUGUUGAAUCCAGCCCACACUUUUUGGCCCCAAGCCCAAACUUUGUUCCUAAUCCUAGUUUUGCUUUAUAAAUAGUAAAUGCUAGAGAGAAUUAGGGUUAGAGGAAUUGAGAGGUGAUUGAGAGAAAGAGAGAGUGAAUCUUCUCCAUUUGUAAUCUCUUUCGUUCGAUCAGUAAAUUAUUAAUUUCUCUCCAUGGAUAUAGGCAUUAUUGACCGAAUCAUAUAAAUAUUUAUUAUUUUUUUUUGUAAUUAAUAUAGAUAAUAGAGGAUAAAGUGAGUCGUUUUUACCCAACACUUUUAGACUGGAGAUUUUUGCCAGUACCGAACUCUUGGCAACUCGUGCUCUAUCUUUUAGUUGGAACAUCUCGGUGACAGGGUGGGUGGUUAAGUGUUAGUCAUGUAAUAAACAAGUGAAUAUAGAGUGUCUAAUCCACGAGUCCAACAUGAUACAAAGUGACUACCACUGUGAACAAAAGGAAAUUCCAUUACUUAAAAAAUGGAACAGUUUCAUGAAUUUUAUUUAACAUGUUUGUUCAUAUCCUAACUUCAAAAAAAAUUAUGUAUAGGCUUGUCCGUGUUGUCUUGUGUCUGUGUGCUGGACUCGUAUUCGUGCUUCUUAGCCUGCAUCACACAAUUCCAAUAGGCUUUUAAAUUGAAAUGUUUUUAAACAUCUGUCUGAGUUGGAAAUAUUACAGUGUUAUAUACAAGAUCAAGAGAUGUCCUUCCACAAUUAGGAUUAAACUUUUUAAAAACUAAACUUUUAGAAAACUAAAUUUUGAGAUAUAAAAUUCAUAUCAUGCAAUUAAAAUUUAUACAUAAAGCCCCAGUAAACUGAUUUGUACUAUGAUCCAUUGUCGAGCUCUUGCUCACAAAAAAUUAAAAAAAUUGGAAACAAUCCUUGAACUAGGAAAUAUUUACAGUUUAUUGGUGAUACCAAUUCGUUCUCUAAUAUGCAUUCUAUUAUUUAGAGUGUGUGAAAUGGUUUCUGGAAUCAACGUCAAACAAAAAGAAGAGUCAAGAUAGGUUGCAUAGAUUGGUAGGGCCUAUUGUGUGUUCGGUUGGUAUUUACCUAUGGGGGUGGAGUCGGAGGUGUCAUGAGUUAUGGGCUUUGGUGGAGAAGAUCGUAAAGUUAGAUUGGCGGAAGAAAGCACCUUUUUCUAAAAGGGGGCAAUUUAUCCUUGCAUAGUCGAUUUUGUCUAAUGUCCCCAUUUAGUAUCUUUCCUGGUUUAGAGUUAUGUGGCUAAAGCGAGAAAAGACCAUUUGGUUAUUUAUGAUAUGGUCUCUCUCCUUAGAUGCGAGGAAGGACUUGGUUUGGGUCACAUUGAUAUUGCAUUGCUUUGUAAGUGGUUAUGGAGAUUGAGAUUCCCUCAGGAAAGCAAUUCCUAACGUUAUUUAGUAAUUACAAGUUCAUAUGAUGCCAAAAUGAUGGAUGAGAUCCUCGUGCAAUUAUUUGGGAGAAUUGCGCCCUCUAUGAAGCUUAUUAUGAAGCCUCUUUAGUUUUUUUCUUAUUUCACUUGUCUUGUAAUGGGUAAUUGGUAGCGCAUUCAUUUUUGAGAGGAUGAUUGGAGGGGAGAGUAGCUUUGUUCAUAUGUUUCCGUGAUUGUAUCAUCUAUCGAGAUCUCAUAAUGUUUCAAUUGUCUCUUGAUGACUUUAUCUAAAUCCUCUCCAAUUUCCCAGACAAAAGUCCAUAUGCAAACUUUGUUGGUUUUGGCCUCAUUUUACACUCAGAGGACUCCGACCAGAAGAUCCACAUGAUGGAGAUCCAGGACUGCUGAUCUGCAACAAGAAAGGUGAGAAUUGGUUAUAAGUGAUUUGAUCCGUCUCAGUUUACCACUUCUGCAUGGACCAAGAUCCAUUUACAGUUAAAAGAAGAUGACGAUCUACGUGAAUGCAACAUGGUGUGCUCCAUGCCUGUCUAGCCCAUUACUGUUAAACUCUUGCAUAGAUUCCUUUAUGAAACUGACCAUCAAGCCCCUUGGGGCUAUGGUCUCGGGAUGGUUACAUCUUACGGAAUUGUCUUCAACAUUAACUAUUUUCGCAGGCAUGUCUAUUGGAUUUGGAUUCAAACUCGCUUGGAUUCAAACUCUUUAUUAAAUUUGUAUUCAAAUUCCUAGUUGGAUUUGAAUUCAAAUUCUCAGCGUAUAUAUACAGCUCCUAUUGGGAAAAGUUGGAGAGAUGUAGAGUGAGUGAGGAGGUGGUGGCAGACCACCAGUGAGAGAGUGGGAUACAAAAUGUCUUGUAAUCUAUAAAUUUUUCUCAAAUAGUGAAUCGGCAAGUUGC